ensembl:lncRNA
AAACAUACUGUAGGAAUGCUUAUCUGUGGCUUGUUUGCUAGACAGCAAACCUCUUGACAACAGAACUGGUGUUUUUUCACAAGGGUAAACGGCUGGCUGCUUGAAGUAUAAAGUACUGGAAGACACAGCUACAUCACUCACCUGCUUUCUCGUGAGCAGGGCAAGUCCCAUCACCCUGAAAUCGCACUCCUGCACCCCUUUACAGGCAAGCGCACUUGUCUGACUCUGCAAGCAGCCUUCCUACGCUAGCAGAUAGGGCAGUAUUUACCUGCCUGUGAGGGGGACUAGUUCUUUCGCUGAAGCAGAAAAACAGUGCUGCUCCAGUUCACCAUGGGAAGAGAGGAUGACAGGACCAACCAGAUGGAAGUGGCAGAGAGCUGUGAAAGGGGUGAAGAAUGUAUGGAUUACCUCUUAGGUACAGCAAGUUAUGAGCUCAACUCAUGAUGUCAGCCCACGGCCUUGCUCAACUUGGUAUGGCCUCUUCUUCUGUUCCCCUUCGGACUUCUGCUUAGCAUCACUUGGAAAAUGUGCUCCUAUGGGUGGGACCUGAAGAAAGAUCUUUUCUCCCAGUUCCCCAAGCAAUCUACUUGGCUUACAGCUUCAUUUUUCACAUCUUGACUGAUCUAAAGAUGAGGCCAAAAAUUUUUAUUUGCUUCUGCUUUAUACGAACACAUGCACAUAGAAAUCCAUUACUGAGGUUAUGGGGACAGAGCAACUCAGAUGCUGACACGAUUUUUACUUAUAUGCACAUUUUGUGUGUAAGAUAGAAACUAAAUAUGCUAUUCUUCAGAGAGGCAGAGCAAAGUAAUUCCCAUAACUUUUGAAAGACAUUCCUACAAUAUAUUGUAGUAUUUUCUGAAAGUGUAUUUUAUGUUCACAAAGAGUUAUAAUCUUAGAACACAGAAUAUCCCAUGUUGGAAAGGACCCAUAAGGAUUGUCAAGUCCAACUCCUUACUCCACACAGGACCACCCAAAAAACAGGCCAUAUGACUGAGAGCGUUGUCCAAACACUCCUUGUGCUUGGGGCCAUACUCAUCGCAUUCUAGUGCAGAACUUUUCCCUAACCCCCAGCUGCACCUCCCUUGAUGGAGCCAUAGGCCAUUCCUGCCUGCCCUGUUGCUGUCACCAGAGCAGAGCUCAGUGCUGCCACUCCGUUCCCUGUGAGGAGCUGCAGUGGCUAUGAAGCUUCCCCUCAGCUCCUCUGCUCUGGGCUGAAGAAACCAUGAAGAAUCACACUGGGCCCCAUGGAUUUACAGGCAUCCAGGUGGAGCAGCAAAUCCCGUGCAAGUUCAGGGUUAGCUGGGAGUUCAUUUUCAUCACAUUGUUCAGAUCCCUCCUCCUCUAAGUCAAAGCCUUGGUUCAUUUUUCCUAGUAGAAUGUGUUACAAGGAUGAAAGCAUAACCUUUGAAGGCUGAAGAAAAAUUCAGAUGGCUUUUGUUCUACGUGCCAAAUAAUGUGAGAAAAAAAUGGGGAAAAAAAUGGAACACUUCAGUAUUUAGAAUGGAAACGGGAUUUAAAAUAUAUUUCCAUAUAUUAUUUAUUUUUUAGAACAAAACAAGGAACAGAAUCUCACUACUAAUUCUGUCAGUGAAUUAGUUUACAUCUAAUAAAAUUGCUACGUUAAACU